UAUGGGUGUAUAAUUUUCACUGUGGAAUAAGUGUUGUAAAUAUAUCUAUUGAAAUGAGAUGUUAUUCGAUUUUAAAUAUAUCUAGUUUUUUAAGAAAAAAAUUUAAUUUUAUUUUUAUUUAAUUACUUAAUUUAAUUUAUAAUUUUGUAUUAGUAAAAUUUUAUUUUUUAGGGGAUGAGCUUUAAAAAAUAUUUAUAUAAUCUAUUUUUUUUAUUUUAAUAAGUAGGAUUAAAAGUUUCUAUCUUUAAAAGUGUUUUAUCACAAUUUAAAGUUUGUAUAAAAUUUUAAUUUAGGUUUAUUUUUUUUAUUAAAAUUUAAAUUUUAAUUAUAAAAAUUUAGAAAUUAUGAUAAAAUUAGUAUAAAUUUUUGUUUAGUUAUUUAAUUUUUUAAAGGUUAAGUAAAGGAACUCGGCAAAUAUAUUUUCCACCUGUUUAUUAAAAACAUGUCCUUUUGAUAAUAAUUUAAGGUCUGACCUGCCCUAUGAUGUAGAGUUAAAUGGCCGCGGUAUACUGACCGUGCGAAGGUAGCAUAAUCAUUAGUUUCUUAAUUAGAAGCUGGAAUGAAGGGUCGAAUGAGAGAAUAGCUGUCUCUAUUUAAAUUUAUUAGAAUUUUAUUUUUAAGUUAAAAAGCUUAAAUUUUUAUUGAAGACGAGAAGACCCUAUAGAGUUUUAUAAAUUUGGCUAUAAAAAAUUUUAGUAUUAUAAAAGUUUAUUGUUGUGUUUAUUUAGUUGGGGUGAUUGAAAAAUUAAUAAAACUUUUUUUUUAUUUUAACACUAAUUUGUGAUUAGUUGAUCCUUUUUUUAAGAUUAAAAGAUAAAAUUACCUUAGGGAUAACAGCGUAAUUUUUUUUUAGAGUUCUAAUCGAAAAAAAAGGUUGCGACCUCGAUGAAAGGGUAAAAUUUAUUUUUGGUGUAGCAGCUAAAAAAUUAGGUCUGUUCG
rnacentral:rRNA from 1 species